rnacentral:tRNA from 1 species
ACUCUUUUAGUAUAACCAGUACAAUUGACUUCCAAUCAAUCGGUUUUGACAACAUUCAAAAAAGAGUA